AUUGAACGCUGGCGGCAGGCUUAACACAUGCAAGUCGAACGAGUGGCGGACGGGUGAGUAAUGCUUGGGAAUCUAGCUUAUGGAGGGGGAUAACUACGGGAAACUGUAGCUAAUACCGCGUACCAUAGGAUGAGCCCGAGUGGGAUUAGGUAGUGGGUGAGGUAAAGGCUCACCAGGCCGAGGAACUCUAGCUGGUCUGAGAGGAUGACCAGCCACCCUGGGACGGAGACACGGCCCAGCCCCCUACGGAAGGCAGCAUUGGGGAAUAUUGCGCAAGGGGGGCAACCUGCCGCAGCCAGGCCGCGUGAAUGAAGCAGGCUUUCGGGUUUUAAACUCCUUUCGGUAGCGAGGCGUUACCUACAGAAGAAGCACCGGCUAACUCCGUGCCAGCAGCCGCGGUAAUAC
rnacentral:rRNA from 1 species